AUGUGUUUAUUCAACAAUAUAAAAGCUGGAUUCUCUUAUGGUGAAGUUGGAGGCCUCGACUAUGAGUGGAUGCACUGUGUAGGACUUCCCAUUUGCUGGGAAAUCUCUCCAAAUCCUCUCUGCAACUGGAGCUCCCCGGCAACUACAAAUCUGGAUGAUGUAACUCACCAGAGCAAAUCACACCAACAUCUUCAGCAAUUCCUGCUGACAGCGCCUGAGAAUGGGAGGUCUUGCAGAGCACUAGCUGAGUCUCAUUUCCAUCACACUGGACACUUCUUAAGCCCACGGGACCGAUACCUCGUUCAGAUCUUGGAAGUCGUCAUCUAGGACUCUGCCCCACGUGCCAUCGAGGGAGAUUUCAACACGCCCAUCACAGCGGCUCUGACCAUCGGAGAGUCUGAGUGAUUCAGCAAGACCUGCGCUCAAAAGGUUUGGAAAAUGCACUGAAUAAAAUUUUCUGCUGUUAUCA
rnacentral:lncRNA from 1 species